rnacentral:rRNA from 1 species
UCCCAAGGGUAUGGCUGUUCGCCAUUUAAAGUGGUACGUGAGCUGGGUUCAAAACGUCGUGAGACAGUUUGGUCCCUAUCUGCCGUGGGCGUUGGAAAUUUGACGGGGGCUGCUCCUAGUACGAGAGGACCGGAGUGGACGCACCGCUGGUGUACCUGUUGUCUCGCCAGAGGCAUCGCAGGGUAGCUAAGUGCGGAAGAGAUAACCGCUGAAAGCAUCUAAGCGGGAAACUCGCCUGAAGAUUAGAUUUCCCGGGGGUUUAACCCCCUUGAAGGGUCGUUCGAGACCAGGACGUUGAUAGGUCGGGUGUGGAAGCGUGGUAACACGUUAAGCUAACCGAUACUAAUUGCCCGUAAGGCUUGACUCU